rnacentral:tRNA from 1 species
GCGCCAGUAGCAUAACGGUUCAAUGCAGUAGGCUUAUAUCCUACCGAGAGAAGGUUCAAUUCCUUCCUGGCGUA